UACGUAGGGUGCGAGCGUUGUCCGGAAUUACUGGGCGUAAAGAGCUCGUAGGUGGUUUGUCGCGUUGUUCGUGAAAACUCACAGCUUAACUGUGGGCGUGCGGGCGAUACGGGCAGACUGGAGUAUUGCAGGGGAGACUGGAAUUCCUGGUGUAGCGGUGGAAUGCGCAGAUAUCAGGAGGAACACCGGUGGCGAAGGCGGGUCUCUGGGCAGUAACUGACGCUGAGGAGCGAAAGCGUGGGGAGCGAACAGG
rnacentral:rRNA from 1 species